rnacentral:rRNA from 1 species
GCCCAACCAUAAACUUUUACUUACACCUAAAUCGCCAGGGAACUACGAGCUAAGCUUAAAACCCAAAGGACUUGACGGUACCCCAUAUCCCCCUAGAGGAGCCUGUCCUAUAAUCGAUAAUCCACGUUUAACCUCACCAUUUUUAGUUAAUCAGCCUGUAUACCUCCGUCGUCAGCUUACCACGUGAGCGUUUCUUAGUGAGCCUAAUGUCUUUCACCAACACGUCAGGUCAAGGUGCAGCAUAUGAAAUGGAAAGAGAUGGGCUACACUUUCUAAAUUAGAAAAAACGAAAAACUACUUAUGAAACCUAGUUGGAAGGCGGAUUUAGCAGUAAAAAGGAAUCAACAUGUCCAUUUUAACUCGGCACUGGGGUGUGU